UGGGGAAUUUUGGACAAUGGGCGAAAGCCUGAUCCAGCCAUGCCGCGUGAGUGAAGAAGGCCUUCGGGUUGUAAAGCUCUUUUAGUCGGAAAGAAAGAGUUGCAAUGAAUAAUUGUGAUUUAUGACGGUACCGACAAAAAAAGCACCGGCUAACUACGUGCCAGCAGCCGCGGUAAUACGUAGGGUGCGAGCGUUAAUCGGAAUUACUGGGCGUAAAGGGUGCGCAGGCGGUCUUGCAAGUCAGAUGUGAAAGCCCCGGGCUUAACCUGGGAAUUGCGUUUGAAACUACAAGGCUAGAGUGCAGCAGAGGGGAGUGGAAUUCCAUGUGUAGCAGUGAAAUGCGUAGAGAUGUGGAAGAACACCGAUGGCGAAGGCAGCUCCCUGGGUUGACACUGACGCUCAUGCACGAAAGCGUGGGGAGCAAACA
rnacentral:rRNA from 1 species